GUGGAUUUGUAAUUAUUAUUUAAAACCUUAUCUUUCUGUUGGUGACCCUGCGCAAAUAAAACCUGCUAAUUUUACAUUACCUUAAUAAAUUUACAUGGCCUGUUUACAAUGAUAGCAAUGCAUUUGCCAGUAUUGACCCCAAAUUGAUAAAAUGACACAAGCCCUCAUAACGACUAUUAUUAGAUUAUAGACUCAUCCAGACAGUUAAUGGCAACAUAUUCAGUGAUGUGAGUGAAC